GAGUUUGAUCCUGGCUCAGGAUGAACGCUGGCGGCGUGCUUAACACAUGCAAGUCGAACGGGAAAUACUUUAUUGAAACUUCGGCGGAUUUAAUUUAUUUCUAGUGGCGGACGGGUGAGUAACGCGUGGGUGACCUGCCCCAUACCGGGGGAUAACAGCUGGAAACGGCUGCUAAUACCGCAUAAGCGCACAGAGCUGCAUGGCUCGGUGUGAAAAACUCCGGUGGUAUGGGAUGGGCCCGCGUCUGAUUAGGCAGUUGGCGGGGUAACGGCCCACCAAACCGACGAUCAGUAGCCGGCCUGAGAGGGCGACCGGCCACAUUGGGACUGAGACACGGCCCAAACUCCUACGGGAGGCAGCAGUGGGGAAUAUUGCACAAUGGGGGAAACCCUGAUGCAGCGACGCCGCGUGGAGGAAGAAGGUUUUCGGAUUGUAAACUCCUGUCGUUAGGGACGAUAAUGACGGUACCUAACAAGAAAGCACCGGCUAACUACGUGCCAGCCGCCGCGGUAAUAC
rnacentral:rRNA from 1 species